rnacentral:tRNA from 1 species
CAGUCAUUAACUCAGUUGGUAGAGUAUCGCACUUUUAAUGCGAGAGUCGUGCGUUCAAGUCGCACAUGACUGA